UAGCUUAGUCGGCAGAGCAUGAGACUCUUAGUCUCAGGGUCAUGGGUUCAAGCCCCACU
rnacentral:tRNA from 1 species